GUUUAAGUCAGGUACAUGUGAGAUCACUCAUAGAGACAAAACCAAAUGGUUUAUUAAACUAAUUGUCAAAACAUAAAUCAAGCUAAUGGGUUUUGGAAGUACUGUACGAGAUAGUGGAGUAUUGCCAUGUAUACAUGACUGUGUUGUUGGUAUGUUGUCAGGUGUGCAAACAAAGAGAUUCUGAGGAAAGAAAACACAAGUGGAAAACCCCUCAGUAAGCCCAAGGCCAGAGGAGCAGCUCUCAAUGUUCAUCCAAUUUAUUCUAAUGAACCGCCCAACUCUGUUCACCCAUGACCCCUGCAAAUUAGAUGACGUGAGAAAAGUAUCUGUCAUCCUCUGCCCUCUGACCCAGUACCACAAAUGUAUUUAAACAUUUAAAUUUUUUACCUGAUCAAGAUGCAAUUUAGCUCAAAACAUUGCCUACUUAAUUAAAUAUGUGUAGUCAAUGUGCAGCUUUUUCAUUGAUGCUGUUUUUUUGCAAAAGCCAUGCACCUACAAUACACAUACAUACUGUAAAAUUACAGCCUUUCUUCCCAGGUGGGCUGCCAUGCAAAACAGAAAUUAUUGCCAAUCAAUCAGGCAAAAAAAGUGGGAUAUCUCUUCCAGCUUUAAGAAGCUUGUCAUUUGGCCAUACUAUCUGUGUUGGCAUAUGUCAUGGUUUAGGGUUUUUGUUCAGUCAUUUCCUGUUUUAUUUUGAAAUAUCUCCUUCCCUCAUGUGUCUUUUAGUUUUGCUUCCUGUCUUUGAUUGAUUGUUUUCACCUGUGUCUCGUUGUCUCCCCUACCUCUGUGUAUUUAAGUCUGUGUCUUCCUUUGUUUUGUGUCAGGUUGUUGUUCCACCAUGUGCCCUGUGUCUGUUCCCCAGUCCUGCUUGGUUUCCAGUUUCUCUCCCUGUGUUACCCUGCUCCCUGGAGUAUUUUGGAUUAUUCUUUGUUUGGGAAUGAAUUCUUGGUUGACUGUUACCUGGAUUCCUCAGCUGUCCUUAGUUGUUUUGCUUUCUCCUUUGGAUUUGUCUGCCACUCAUGGAUGACUUUUAUUCUGUGCCUGCUUAUCCUAUUGUAAGCUGUUGCAAGUGUGGAGGAGCACUGCUCCAGAUAAUCUGGCUGGCUUCCACUCUGAGUGCUGCUGCUGAUGGAGAUAGUGUAGAUACUGUUGCCGUAGCCGUCACAGGAACAGUGGUCACCUCUUCGCCCUCCGUUCCCUGCUGCCCAGACAAAAACAGAGCCCCUCCCAUGCCGGCCCUGAGAUUAAUUGGGGGAGCAGACAGAGCAAGACGAGUCAGAGGCCCAGGUCCCUCCAAAGUGGCCCCGUCAUCUUCUGGCCCCCAGCUAGCUGAGUAGACAUCAAUAUACUGUGGUCUGAAGCUCAGUGAUUGGGCCUCCACAAUGUCUGUCACAUCUCCAUCCAGCAU